rnacentral:ncRNA from 1 species
UAUUGUUGCCAUGGUAAUCUGCUCAGUAGGAAGCCCAUGUUCAGAUAGUUGGUGUAUGUACUUGGCUAAAGAGCCAAUGGGAUGAAGCUACCAUCUGUGGGAUUAUGACUAAUCCUGCCCAGGCAGAACCAUACAGCAACUUGGCGGGGUCUCAGUUGGUCUCGGAUGGCCUCAGAUAGCCGGUCUCCUGCCGUCCCUGCCACAGGCAGGGACCAGGAUCCGGUUCGAAGAGCCCCUAGUCGUGGGAAAUGGGGUGCGGUCAAAAAGGCGGCUGCCUCCUCGCCCGUCAUGCAAUGCACGUUUGUGGGGAAGCUGGCACUAAACCAUUCAUAGAGGAGCUGCUUCUGGGUCAGGGUUUCAUCGUAGCAGAGCAGCUCCCUUGCCACGAUCUAUUGAAAGUCAGCCCUGGACCCAAGGGUUU